rnacentral:lncRNA from 1 species
UCUGAACCUAUGGUGUAACAUGAAAAGAAAGCACUAUAGCGCAAAUGCGUCAGUACAACUAGAGUGUUGAGUAUACGAGUGAGGUAGGCUAAAUGAAAAGAGUUUACAUGCAUGAGCAAUGAAAACUGACCGACUAAUAUGAAUGUGAGAGUGCAAACAUACAUACAUAAUAAUUGGAAAUGUAAAUACGUAAUAGUAGAUCUGUACGCUAAUACAUGAUUUACUAAUUUCUGACAUGACUGAAACUAUGGUUCUGUCAACAUGGGUGACUGUGUCUGACAAUCCUGAGUCUGAUGGAACUAUCUGAGUUUCAUACUAUAACUGAAUUUGAUUGUAUCUGGUAGUCCUGGUAUACUGCUAUCUGAAGAACUAUCUGAGUUCUUUUACUGAGACUGAGCCUAAAACUGUGGGAGGUAGUUGUUUAACCGACAUGCCCCAAUAAUGCAUAUAGCUAAGUUGGGGUCCAAUCUCUGCCCUGACUGGAGGGGUAUCAAUACCACGCCACUGGUAAGGAUAAUUAUGAGUUACUCUCAUCUGGCAGGUACUCAAAUGAAGGAACCCUAAACUGACAGGGAACCCAUCUGAAGAGACUGAACAUGAUUUAACUGACUGUACAUGGACUGAGUAACUGACUUCCGUUUACUGACUGAAUAACACUACUAUUUGAGAUUUUGCUGAGAUAAUGAAAUUUCGGAGGUUUCUUGAGUCACAUGGCUGACUGAGUUCUAUAGAUCAUGGCUUGACUGAGAUUAUCAUGGUAACGUGACUUGGCUCUAGACACACAACUAUAUUUUUUGGGUACAAAUACCCCUAGGACUCGAUAGAAGGAUACUGACACACAUGACAUGACUUGAUCACAAGAUUUGAGUCCACAAUUCAUAAUAUCGUACAUAAGGGAUUUCAUACUAAGCAUGGUUAUCAAUAAUGUAGUGCAUGGAAAGGAUUUCAUGUCACAUGGAAGUACUUGCACAACCUUAAUAUCAUGUUCAUUGCAUAAUCAUACUAGCAACACAUACCAAUAGCAUGGAAGUUCAUGUGGAAUCAUCUUAAGAGUUGACAAGGUUUGUCAUUUAAAUACUAUGGGGUCAUGGGAACAUGAUUUUUAGCAUUCUAGGCAUUUUAACAAACACCUUGCAUGCACACUUUGGGGCAUAGGUUUUCUCAACAAUUUUAAUCAUCUUGAACCACCCAAAUAGGUUUUAACUACAAGAAUGCAUACAUCAUAGAAGUCAACUUAAAUUAAUAUCUUGAAGCUUAAACAAUGAUCAUUAACAUGAACAAUAUCACAUAACAACAAGAAAAUCAAAGUUUCUCAUUUAAGCAUGCUUCUUAAACUCUAUGAAUGAAAGGGGUCCAUAGAUGAACACUACGCAUACCUGACUCAAGAUUCUUGACGUUUUUAAACUUGAAGGGUUUGAAAUCCUUUGAUUCUUGAAGAAUAUUGGGUAUUGUUCUUGUAGAUUAAAUUUAAAGAGAAACUCUAGUUUUUGUUUGUGAAAUAAUAAUGAGCAAAAUGGCUGAAUUCGAACUUAUCUGGGUAUAUAUGUAGGUGAGUGGUAAGUGACCAAAAUACCCCUGUUAAAAUGACCUGGAAAUAAACUGAACAUGGCAUGUGACGGUCCGACUGACGGCCCGUCCGACACUUGACGGUCUGUCACUUAGCCCGUCAGAUGUGGACCACAAAUGGGGUUCACUGGAUAAGUAUUGACAGCCUGGAUAAUGGUCCAUCACAACUUUGACGGUCCGUCAACUCGUUCAUCAGUCCUUAUCCAGUACGUGGCUCAACUGCCUUGGCUGUAACAGUCAAAGUGGCGGUCCGUCAACUUGGCCGUCAUACUUGGGUGUUUUGGACAGUUUCAAGUAAAACAUCUAUAACUUUCUCGAUAGUAAGUCCUUGCAUCCUUGAGAUGAUUUCUAGCUAGGAAAAAGGCACGGAUAUUACACCAGCUAAACCUAAGAAACUCCUAAUGUCUGAUGAAGAGAUUGGUCUAGGCCAGUUUUUCACUGAUUUGGUAUUUUAAGGGUCAACUUUAAUGCCAUCGGCAAAAAUAAUAUGUCCAAGAAAAUCUACUGAUCUUAGCCAAAAUUCACACUUACUGAAUUUGGCGAACAAUUGAUGAUCGCUAAGGGUCCGUAACACAAUUAUCAGAUGGUCUGCAUGAUCACUCUCAGUAUGGAAAUAGAGAAGGAUAUUAUCAAUGAAGACUAUGAUGAACAUGUCUAAAUACUUUUUGAACACCCUAUUCAUCAAGUCCAUGAAAGUUACAUGGGCAUUCGUUAGUCCAAAAGACAUAACAAGGAAUUCAAAGUGACCAUACCGAGUUCUAAAAGCUAUUUUUAACAUGUCAUAUUCUCUGACUCUAAGCUGAUGAUAGCUGGAUCUGCGAUCUAUCUUAGAGAAAUAACUGGCAUCCUGAAGUUGGUCGAAUAAGUCAUCAAUACUAGGGAGUGGAUACUUAUUCUUGAUUGUGUCUUUGUUCAGCUGACGGUAGUCAUUGCACAUUUUGAGAGAACCAUCUUACUUACGCCUGAAUAAUACUAGAGCGCCCCAUGGAGAAACACUGGGCCUAAUGAAACCCUUAUCUAAGAGAUUUUAACUAUUGUUUCAAAUUUUCAAGAUCAGCUGGGGUUAUUUUAUAAGGUGGAAUAGAGAUACGCUAGGUAUCUGGAAGGAGAUCUAUUCUGAAGUCAAUUUUCCUUCUGGGAAAAACUCUGGGAAGAUCUUCAGGGAACAUAUCUAGAAAUUCCCUUACUACUGAAACUGACUCGAGACUUGUAGUCACAAAACUAGAGUCUUUGACUCAAAUGAUAUGGUAAACACACCCCUUAGAUAUCAUCUUUCUUGCUUUAAGAUAUGAAACAAUCUGACCCCUAAGCACUGAGGUACUACCCUUCCAUUCAAUGACUCAUUCAUUAGGAAACUGAAAAUGAAUGAAUCUAUUUCUACAAUUAACUGAGGCAUAACAUAAGUGGAGCCAAUCCAUGCUGAGAAUGACAUCGAAAUUAGUCAUUUCUAACUCUACAAGAUUAACUAAGGUGAUAUUCCAAGAUGUUGUGAUCGGGCAAUUUCUAUAUACCCAUCUGGAUAUAAUAGAUUUGCCCACUGGGGUAGACACUAAGAAAUGCUAUGCUAAUAUUUCAGGACUGACAUCAAAGUUGACGGCUAUAUAAUGAGUCACAAAAGAAAGUGAAGCUCUAGGAUCUAACAAUACGUAAACAUAAAGAUGGAAAAACUGUAACGUACCCAUAACCACAUCAGGAGAAUUUUCUUGAUCAUGCUGAGUCUGGAGUGCAUACAAUCUAUUCUAACGCUGCCCACUGGUUACACUGAAGGUCAGACCCUACUGAGUCGGGCGACCUACUGGAGCUGAUAAAAGAUUAGACUAGCCUUGUUGGCGCGAAUCCUUUUCUGUUUGAGAAAUUACUGGACAGUAUCGGACCCUGUGGCCUAGAUUUCAUAUAUAAAACAUACAUCACUACCAGCCUUACACUCACACUAGUGAUUUUUAUCAUAUUUUUGACAAAGCAGAUUAGUAUAUUGACUGUUCACACCGCCCUAGGACUUAGAGCCUGGAUCCCUAUCUCGGCUGUCUUACCUGAACAUAGGCACUGGCGCACUAGCUUAAGAUGGAGAUGGGGUUGAAAAUUUCUGAUGGAACAGAGAAUGGUUACCUCCUCUGACCUUAGAUGAGAAAUGUUAAAACUACCUGUUCUGACCCUCUUGUUCUCUCUCCCUCUCCAUACACUUUUCCUCCUUAAUAUGUUAAGCGUAAGCCUUGAGUCUAGAUAGGUUCAUAUCCUUAAUCAAUAUGGUAGUUGUACACUCUUUAACCACACUAUUAGCUACACUCGAUACAAAUUUACUCAAUCUAUACCGAUUUUCUACUACCAUAUUAGGAGCAUAUCUCGGCAACUGAGUAAAGUAAGUACUCCUUCACACUCAUACUACCUAUCUUUAAAUUGAUGAACUCUUACACCUUGGCUUCUCUCAACUCUAAUGGAUUGAACCUGGCUAAGAAAUCCAUGGAAAACUCCUCCCACUCAAUAGGCCUUGACUUCAUACCUUAGUUCUCCUUCCAUAGAUUAAAGAAGGUGUGAGAUACAUCCUAAAACUAAUAUGCAGCCAACUAUGCACUCUUACUCGAAGUGACGCCCAUGAUAUCAGUCACCUUUUGUACCAUAUCCAAAAACUCCUGCGAAUCCUCCUCAGACUUGGAUCCUAAAAAUGAAGGGGGAUUCUUUUAGGGUAAAUACUGAAUCCUAGCUGUAGCUAUAUUUGCCACUAGAUUGGUUGGGGCUAUAAAUUAUUGGUUGUUUUCAGCUACUGAAUGGGCCAGAGUCGUAAAAACAACCCUGAAUUUGGCGUAAAAGACAUGCUCAUUUAGGGGAUCUUCCUGAAUAGGCGGUAGUGCAGGCUGAUCUCCAUUCCUUCAUUCGUUGUUUCUUUUAGGAGGUAUUAUAUUUAAACCAAAUAAAGGAUGAGUUAGAAAGAGAGUUUAAAUAGAGCUCAUGAUCUUUCAUAUGACAUGAACAUAAAAAGAAGGGAAACAUUUCAUAGCCUCUUGUCCAUAAGUAUGGAGCACUUCGCACCCAUGCACAAGACUCUACUCAACACGAUAUUCAGACUCCCUAGGAAAAUUUAAAACCUUAGGCUAUGAUACCAUAUUUUUUCAUAACCCAAGGCUUCCCCCUAGUCACGACAACGGUGCUUGCGACCAUAAGUGACCACAAGCUAACCCAUGAGCUGGUACCUUUUGUGAGCACUGAAUAAAAUAGUAAUACAGUAUAUGUGCGGAAGGUAAGCUGAUAAGAUACUGUAAAACUAGAUACUGAAAUACGUAUCAUAACAUGUCUAAAAUAUCUGAUAGAAUACUAAAAAUAAACUAUCUAUCUGAAAAUAAUUGAUAACAAUGAAAUGACUGACUGCCUAACUAAUUUUUUGAAAGCCUCUAAACAUCAUGAGGAGUUAAUGAGAUAGACCCCAACUAACUCUAACUGACUAAACAUAAGAAAACAGUAGAGUAACUAAAAUAAGCAAAUCAUGUCCUUGAUGGAUGAGGACUCACCACUACUGUUGCUGAGUAAUACUGAGCUGUCUAAGAGUAGUUGAGAAACUAUGCGUCCGAACCUAUGUUAUAAGACAACAUAGAGCAAAGAAAAGUAUGCAGUCAAUACUUUGAAUGUACUGGUAUAUGAGAUGAGGACUGACUGAAAUGCAUAAGGUAACUAAGUAUAAAUGCAUAAACUUUUAAUAUCUUAGAAUGCAAUACCAAGCAUAAAUAUGUUUCUGAGAUAAUCUGUAAUCUAAAAGACUGAAAGCUGUAUAACUGGAUAAAUAAGAAUCUGUACACUUGGUCAAGCAAACCUAAAUUGAAAUACACUGAUUACUGUACUGAGACUAUUGGAGGUAUCAUAUAACUGACAUUCCCCAAUCUGAGCUAAUUGGGGUCUAACCUAUAACCCAGUUGAAAGGGUGUCAGUAUCGUGCCAUGGGUCUUAACACUGGCUGUGUGGAUCCACUAGUCUGAUGUUCCAAAGGACUAAGGAGUCAAACCUAAAGUAGCGGGUGACCCCUAAGAGAGUGUUAGUCCUAAACUGACAGGUAAUAUCUCAUAAUCCUAAGUUGGCUAUAUAGUUCUGGAACUUAGGGAUUGGUACUAAGGACCCAGUCCUAACUGGCAGGUGAUCCCUUAUCCUUAGGUUUAAUUGGUGCUAAAUCCUACUCUCAACUAACUGGCACUGGUACUGAACUGAACUAAGUUUAACUAAACAUUAUUUCUGAUAGUGCUCAUCAUGGUUAUAUCAACUGAGAAAAAUAGUAAUAUACAUGGUUUAACUGAAUCGUUACUUGUAAAUCUAAAAUCAUUAAAACACGUAUGUAUCAGGUGUUCAUAACCCAACAGUACUAGAUGAUUAUAUAAAAAAAUAUGAUAUCAAACUUGAAAUAUUGUAGUAUGCAAUCAUGGUUCAAAGACCCAAAACAUGGACAUUUCAUCAAACAUGUAAGAAUCAUAAGCUUGAACAUGUGAAUGUCUUAAACAAAGGAAACAACAUGAUUACAAGGCUAAAUUCAUAAUUUGGGGGUUUAUCCUAAAAUCAAUUCAUGACAUAAGAAUUUUAGUACUUAAAACAUGAUAUGACUAAUUCCACUUGAAACACUUGUAACCAUAUCUUGAAAUUAAAUUAAUAGGAUAUUCAUAGAUUUAUUUUAUCUUGAACAUGUAUAAACUCAUAAAUUAAACCAAAAUAUGAUUUUUGGGAUCUGUGGGUGAAAGGAACCUAUGGAUGAAAAUCCUAUAUACUUAAUAACUAAAUUCUUGAAGAUUUCUUCGAUUGGAAGCUUGAACUUUUGAUUUCCUGUGAAUGAAGCUUAAAUUUGUUCUUGGGGAAGAAAAAGGAUUUUUUUGGGAGAAAUUGGAGUGAAAGAGGCAAAUAAUCCCCUAUUGGGAGCCCCAAGUCAUGUUAAGGACGUAUUGGGGUCGAGGAAAAAUGACUCAAAUUCCCCUUUGCUUAAAGGCUAAGGGGAUCGGUAGAUCAACAAGGGGUGACGUGGGCUCUAAACUGGUGGACUAGCCCAGGCAAUGUGAGAUCUGUCCUGGUAGACUAGAUCGGGCAUCGCGGGCUCUAUACCAAUGAACAAAAUUGGGCGCUGCGUCCGUAUCCCAGUGGGGCUACUAUUUUCUUUUUCCAAACACACACCUUCGCCCAUAAAAAAAUUCCAAAACUUUCCUGAGACACACCUUUAACAACCCCAAACCUAUUUCAACUCAAAAAUCAACAUCUCGAGGUUGGGAAGACCAAAAUAAAAAUCAUCAAAGUUUAGGGGUCUUAAAAAUAACUAAGUCCUCAACACUUAGUGAAAUUUUCAAGCCUUGGACCCUUUAAGCGUGGAACUAAGAGCUAAAUCAUGCUUAGAAUAUUAUGGGGUAUUACAGAUUAUUGUCAGUUGAAUAAAAUAACCUUAAAGAAUAAAUAUCAUCUUCCUAGGAUCGAUGAUUUGUUUGAUCAUCUAUAGGGUGCGAAGUGUUUUUCUAAGAUUAAUCUUAGAUCGGGUUAUCAUCAGCUUAAGAUUAGGGAAGUAGAUAUCCUUAAGACUAUCUUUAGGAUAUGAUAUAGAUAGUAUGAAUUCCUAGUUAUGUCUUCUGGGUUGACCAAUACCCCCACGAUAUUCAUAAACUUGAUGAAUAGGGUCUUUCAUCUAUUUUUAGAUUUGUUUGUCAUAGUCUUCAUUGAUGACAUCUUGGUCUACUUUAAGAGUGAAGCAGAUCAUGUCGAACAUUCGUAUCAUGUUGCAAACUUUGAAGGAUCAACAUUUGUAUGCCAAGUUCUAUAAGUAUGAGUUUUGGUUGAAGGUUGUGACUUUCUUUGGUCAUGUUAUCUCUAGUGAAGGGAUUAUGAUAGAUCCAAAAAAGGUUGUGGCAGUUAAAAAGUGGCCUAGACUUUUAUCUCCAAUCGAUAUUUGGAGCUUUUUAGGUCUAGCCGAUUACUAUAGGAGAUUUGUGGAAUGUUUUUCAGCAAUAGCUGCCCCAUUGACUAAGUUAACCUAGAAGAAAGUAAAGUUUUUGUGGUCGGGUACGUGUGAGGGUAGUUUUGAGAAGUUAAAGAAUAAAUUAACUUUAGCCAUGGUUUUGACCUUACCCGAGGGUAAUGAUAGUUUUUUAGUGUAUUAUAAUGCUUAUCGUAUUGGGAUUGGUUUUGUAUUGAUGCAGCAUGGUAGGGUGGUGGCCAAUGUUUCUAAGCAAUUGAAAGUUUAUUAGAAGAACUGCCUUACUCAUGACUUGUAGUUAUUAUUUAUGGUAUUUGCAUUACAGAUUUGGCGUCAAUAUCUCUAUGGGGUUCAUGUUUACAUAUUUUCUAAUCAUAAGGCCUACAGUACGUGUUCUCUCAGAAGGAGUUAAAUCUCAAGCAAAUACGAUGGCUUGAGUUGGUAAAGGACUACGAUAUGAGUCUUUACUACCACCUAGGUAAAGCUAAUAUUAUUGCUGAUGCUCUUAACAGGUUAUCCAUGGGGAUUUUGGCCCAUGUUGAUGAGGAUAAACAGGAAUUAAUGAAAGACAUCACUGAUUGGCUAGUCUUGGAGUUCAUCUCAUGAACUCAGAGUAUGUUGGCGUGUUUAUGCAUCUAGUGUCACAAUCGUCUCUUGUGAUUGAGAUAAAGGAAAAUCAAAUGUUGGAUCCCGACUUGAUGAAGGUUAAGGGUAAUGUGGGUCAACAAAAGGUUGUUCACUUUGUGGUUGGUGGUGAUGGUAUCUUGAGGUAUUGAGGUAGGGUAUGUUUUCCCGAUAUUGUGGAUUAAGGGAAAGGAUUAUGGCCGAGGCUCAUGGAUCUUGGUAUACUAUUCAUCUCAGUUCUACAAAGAUGUAUCAUGAUCUUAGGGAGUUCAAUUGAUUGAAUAAUAUGAAAUGGGAUGUGGCUAGCUAUGUGUCUAAGUUAUAGUAUGUCAACAAAUAAAAGUUGAGCACUUGAGACUUAAUGGUUUAUACUAAGAGAUAGAGUUGCUCGAAUGGUAGUAAGAAGUGAUUAAUAUAGAUUUCAUCAUUGGUCUUCCCCAGUAUCGAUAUCAAUGUGAUUCUAUUUGGGUUAUUAUGGAUAGAAUGACCAAGUCCGCUCAGUUUUCAUCUGUGAGGACUUGUUUAUUAUGGAUAGAAUAAUCAAGUCCGCUCAUUUCUUGCCGGUAAGUACUAGUUUUUCGCAGAAAAUUAUGCUAAGUUGUAUCUUGUGAAGAUUUUAAAGUUGCAUGGUGCUCAAGUUUCUAUCAUUUUGGAUCGUGGUACUCUGUUCUCAUUGUAUUUUCGAAAGUGGUUUCAGAAUGGUUUGGUAACUAAGGUGUGCCUUAGUACUGCUAUCCACCCAAAAUGAAUGGACAAGCGAAGAAAACUAUCCAACAUUAAAAGAUAUGUUGCGUGCUUGCUUUUGUGUUUGAUUAUGGUAGUAGUUGGUAUUACCAUUUGCCUUUAAUUAAGUUUACUUAUAAUAAUAGUUACCACUUUAGCAUUGGUAUGGUUCCUUUCGAGGCGUUGUAUGGUAGGAGAUGUCAUUAUCCUAUUGGGUGGUAUAAAGUUGGUGAGGGUAAGUUAUUUGGCCCUGAUUUGAUUCACCAAGCCUUAGAGAAGGUGAAGGUGAUUUGUGAUAGGUUGAAAACCACUCAAAGUUGCCAAAAUUCCUAUACGGAUGUGAGGCGUAGGGAUUUGGAGUUUGAUAUUGGUGAUUAGGUAUUCUUGAAAGAAUCUCCCAUGAAAGGAGUAAUGAGAUUUGGUAAGAAAGAAAAGCUUAGUCCUUAUUAUGUGGGACCAUAUUUGAUUGUAAAGCGGGUUAGUAAUGUUGCCUACGAGUUGGAGUUGUCCUCUAGUUUGAGCUUCACCCAUCCAGUAUUCCAUGUGUCCACGUUGUGGAAAUAUAUAGGUGAUCCUUCAUUUGUCAUUCCCUUGAAGUAUGUUGGUGUUUCAGACUCUUUGUCAUAUGAGGAGGUCCUGGUGAGGAUCUUAGAUCAUCAAGUUUGGCAGUUGCGAACAAAAGAGAUGGCUUUGGUAUAGGUUUCAUGGAGUAACAAAAAGUCUAAGGAAGCUACUUGAGAGGCGGAAGAGGACAUAAAGUCCAAGUAUCGCAUUUGUUUUCCGUUCUGAAAACUCGUGCUUGAGGUAUGCGUUAAUCCUCUUGACUUGAUUUGUGUAUUUGAUAUGCAAUGGGUUUAAAUCCCUAAACUUUGAAUUGAGCAAGUGUUUUGAUAGACAAUGGGUUUGAGUCCCAAAGUCAAUUGAAUGAAUGGUUGAUUGAUAAUGAUUAUGGCAUAUGUCCUAUCCUUGUUGUAUGUCUUUAUGUUCCAAUUUGGUUAAAGGUUAGUUUGAUGUGUAAUAGUGUGUUAAAUCAUUCUUGUGCUUGCCUUACUCGUUAUUCGAGGACGAAUGAUCCAAGUAGGGAAGAAUUAAAAAACCUAGGCUUUCCACCCUUAGAAGAAUUUCCUUAGUUGAAGUUUCUCGGCAGGGUACGAGUCAUAUUUACUAGUCGUACCCUAGAAUAUAACCUAAGGAUCUCUAUCUCGUAUGUUAAUUAGUGUUUGUUAGGUAUAGUCUGUCUAAGGUACGAUUUAUCCUUCUCCCAAGUCGUAUGUUGCCUAUUCGUAUGAUGAUUGAGGUCUUGGCUAAAGCAUUCUGACUUGGGUACUAGUUGUAGGAUACCACUCGUACCCUAGGGUACGAGUUAUGCAUGUGGAGUCAUAUCUUGUACAGUUUAGGGUUCCAUGGUGAGGCCUAGUGUAUGAGUUAUGGUACAACACAUACCCUAGGGUAUGGUUUGGUGUAGGAGUCGUACCCUCCUGGGAGUUCAUUUUAAGCUUUUAAGCUGAGGAUAUUUUAGACUUUUCCCACCUCUAAACCCUUAUAAAACAUGACUUAUAACCUUAUUUUUCCCUUUAUUAUUCAUAUAUACAAGUUAAAAAAAUAUUCCAAAAAUACUCCAAAAUCCCCUCUAAACUUCUCUAACAAGAUUGGAGGUAAGGGUUUCAAGAGUGUUCAUCUAAAGGCUAAGGGGGGCAAGAAUAUCUCUGUGAAUCAUCUUGUAUAAGGCAUGCGACUCUUCCCUUAGUAUCAUUUCUCUAAUAUCGUGUUAUAGUAUCAUUUCUCUAAUAUCGUGUUAUUUAAACAUUGUUUAUGAAUCUUUAAUGGUGGUUUUCAAAACAAAUGUUGAGGGUUUUUAAGUAUAGUGAUGGGUAAUGUUUACUUUUCUUAAACUUGUGUUUAUAUUUUUUUUUGGAGAUAGUUUGCACAUGUGGGUGGUUGUUGAUUGUGCUUUAACAAAUGGGUCAUGGGUAAUCCUAAGUUUGAUGAUUUCAACUUUGAUUUUGGUCUUGGUAAGAAUGUGCCCUCAAGGUGUUUUUGAAAAUGUCUACUAGAAAUAACUAGUCACUUGUUGAUGGUGAUUUAAACUAAGGUAAUGGAUUAAUGAGUAAGGAUUAUUGUUGAAUGAAAUUUUAAAGGCCUUGUUAGGCCUUUAAUGAGUUAAUUGGUGACUUUGGUGGUUUGCUUGGUUAAAUGGGUUAAAUUCCCUAAACAUGAUAUUAAAUUGUGUUGAACCAAAGUUUGGUGUAUGAAUGCUAAUGAAGAAUGAAUGGUAUUGUAUAGGUUUUGAUGAUGACAAAUUGACUUAAAUGGUUAUUGAAACUAAUAUAUUGGUCUAUUAAAGAGAUUGAUUGAUAAAUAAUUCACGAAGACCUUGUGGUCAUGUGUGGUGUUGAAUUGUAGCCUUGAUGGCUUGAAUUGACUAAAUGGGUUAAAGUCCUUGAAUGUUGAAUUGAGUGGAUGUGAAUGUAUAGACAAAGGAUUAGAGUCCGAAUGUCAAUUAGUAAUGGAUACGAUGGCUUGUGGUUAGAGUCCACUUACGUAAUAAGAUGGCUUGUGGUUAGAGUCCACUUGUUUGAUAAGAUGGCUAGUGGUUAGAGUCCACUUGUCUAACAAAAUGGCUUGUGGUUAGAGUCCACUUGGCUAACAAGAGGCUUGUGGUUAGAGUCCACUUGCAUAAUAAGAUGGCUUGGGGUUAGAGUCCUCUUUCUUGGUAUAACCUAAGCGAGUGGAAGGUUGGAGUCCUACACUUCAUGGUUCAUGAUUGAAUGCUUUUGAAAUGCAUGCUAUGGCCUUGUUAUCUUGUGACACGAUGUAUUUGCAUAUACCUACUUGUCUAUGCAUAUGAAUGUGGUGUCUUAUGAUGGUUUGAAUUGGUAUUGAAUUAUGACACUAUAAUAUCCUUACCCUUGAGUUACAUACUAGCGCUCCAACCGCUAAUCGUCUCCGGAAACUAUGUCCCCUUGCGACAUAGGGGUCGGAGCUUCUUCUUCUCUUCCUGCACAGUGACAGGUGUUCGAGCGGUUCGUGUGUUGACAUUGAAGUGGUGAGACUCUAUCCUUCGGAAAGCAUCCAUUUCAUAGUCUCUUUAUCUAUGUUAUAGAUUUCUUUUAGACUUGGUAUUGGCUAUUGUCGGGGGCUUGUCCCGACAUAUUCUAGACAUUAGAUUGGUAGAGUCUUGUGGAUAACUGUGGACUUGGGUAGUUUGCAUGUUGUAUGUUGGUAUGAAUAAAAUGAUUAGGCAUUCUUAAGUUAUGAUUGUUAGUUUGGUUUCCGUUAUCUUAUUAUACGUUCGGAGUUAAUCCAACACUUGUGGAUUGAUGUGACGGUUAGGUUGGGUUAGCGGGGCAAUCUCCGGUCUUUGUUAGCCUUGAAAUGCCCACACAACAGGGACCGGUUUCUGAUCCUUUCAUUAAAAGGAUUUAGGAUUGGAUUAAAAGUCCUACACAUACACGAAUUGAUACUCUAAUGAGAUUGUAAUCUACAAGAACUAGGAUACUCUAAUAAAUACUACAAUUCUUUGGUUAGUUUAGAGACAUAAAAGGUUAUACUGAAACUAUAAUUGAUAAAACACAUUAUAUAUAGUGCUUUGAUCAGAAAUCAGCUUAGUCCUGUAUAUGUAACAUAAGAUACAUCUCUAUUUGGUAGAUGUACCUUCUUGGGAAUUAUAGUUUCUGUGUCUGUCCCAUUCUUAAGCAAAUGUGUAUCUGAUGCCAUAUGAUUUGUUGCACCAGUGUCCAUAAUCCAUUUAGGACUGUGUGGAGCUAUCAUCACCUUUAUAUCAUGAUCAAUAGUCAUACCUAUCAUUUGAGUAGAUGAAGUGAAUGGAAUAGUAUUGAAGUCCCAGUCAGUAACUGAAGAAUUUAAUCAUAUUGAUCUUUGCUGAUAGCGUUGGAUCAAAGUUGACUAAGCUGACUGCUCAAGCUUUGACCAUAGCCGAUGGAGUUGCUAGUUGAACACUUGUUUGAUCCUUGUCCAAAACCACUCAUUUGUGACUAUCUAUUUGCAAUAAUUUAAGCCUGUGCACCUGUUCUAGGGUCAUCCUCACUUGAGACAUUGUAGGCCGCAUUACUUCCCCCUUUCAACCUUUUUUUUUUUCUUCUGCUUAUAGUCAGCUGUAUAUCCCACAACUUUGAAAUGGUUCUUCUUAGAGUGACCCUUAAUUUUGCAUAUAACACAGAACAAAUUAUAAUUUCUCUUAAACCCCUGAUUCCCAUAGUUUUUAGAAUAUAUUGCUAUUUCAUAAUUUCCAACAUUGGCCAUGGAAUUUUCUAUCCUAGAAUACCUGUUGUAGUAGAGAUAGAUUUUUGACUAUCUCACUCAGAAUCAUUGGGUAAGCUUGAUUAAGAGAAGGUAGAGGUGAAAUAAGUAAGAUCAGAUCUUUAUCCUGAUUAUACGAUUCAUUGAGCCCUAUCAAAAAUCAAAAAAAGUUUUAACUUCUGUAAAUAUACAAAAUAGUCUUUAGAUUUUUCACAACUGUAGCCAGUAGAAGGCACAAGAGCUUCAAACACUUCCCACAAAUCUUUAAGUCUAGAAAAGUACAUAGACAUAGAGUUUAUUUCUUGAGUAUAUGUGGCUAUUUCUUUGUGAAGAUUAAAGAUCCUGGAUCCAUUAAUUUUCUGAAUCUUUCCCCCAAGUCUUGCCACACAGCCUGAGCACUUGAGGCAUACAUGAUUCCUCUUAACAAGUUCUUAGUCACAAAAUUUACUAACCAAGACGGCACAAUUGCAUUCACAUGCUCCCAAUGAUUCCAUAUAUUUUCUGGAAAUGCAUUCCUCAGGGAAAGAACCAUCCACUAACCUCAGUUUAUUAUGACCACGAAGAGUAAUUCUAAUAGAAAAAAAUCAGAUGGCAAAGUGUUUGAUACCUUUCGAUUGGAAAGAGAUUGUCUGAAUGUUGCUUACAUCUGAUGUGUGCAAGAAAAACAGAUGAUUGUAGUCAAUUCCAAGGAUAUGAGAGCUGGAUCCAUAUGGCACCAUUAAAGCUGGUUGAGUACUUGGUUCUCUAUUUUCAGCCUUUGUUAGCAGUUUUCAGUGACCAAUAACUAUUGCAAAAUCUUUGAAGAAGAAGAUUUUUUUUCAAGAAAAAGAAACAGAGAAGAAUAGAAAAUUUAGAAUCAGAAAUUGUUUUAUGCUCGCGAAUUGAUCGAGAAUUGACUAUGAACGAAAUGUAUAAAGCGUGAUAUUUAGCUUAUAGUAUGAUACCAUGUUGUAAGGUACUUAAUCCUUCAUGAUUCACGAUGAACAAGUGGAAGAUUACAAAGAUAGAGUAGAGUAAUGUAGAGAAUAUUAG